rnacentral:rRNA from 1 species
AGAACUUAGCAGAGAUGCUUUGGUGCCUUCGGGAACUCUGAGACAGGUGCUGCAUGGCUGUCGUCAGCUCGUGUUGUGAAAUGUUGGGUUAAGUCCCGCAACGAGCGCAACCCUUAUCCUUUGUUGCCAGCGGUCCGGCCGGGAGCUCAAAGGAGACUGCCAGUGAUAAACUGGAGGAAGGUGGGGAUGACGUCAAGUCAUCAUGGCCCUUACGAGUAGGGCUACACACGUGCUACAAUGGCGCAUACAAAGAGAAGCGACCUCGCGAGAGCAAGCGGACCUCAUAAAGUGCGUCGUAGUCCGGAUUGGAGUCUGCAACUCGACUCCAUGAAGUCGGAAUCGCUAGUAAUCGUAGAUCAGAAUGCUACGGUGAAUACGUUCCCGGGCCUUGUACACGCCGCCCGUCACACCAUGGGAGUGGGUUGCAAAAGAAGUAGGUAGCUUAACCUUCGGGAGGGCGCUUACCACUUUGUGAUUCAUGACUGGGGUGAAGUCGUAACAAGGUAAGCGUAGCGAG